rnacentral:rRNA from 1 species
GACGAACGCUGGCGGCGUGCUUAACACAUGCAAGUCGAACGGAAAGGCCCUGCUUUUGUGGGGUGCUCGAGUGGCGAACGGGUGAGUAACACGUGAGUAACCUGCCCUUGACUUUGGGAUAACUUCAGGAAACUGGGGCCAAUACCGGAUAGGAGCUCCUGCUGCAUGGUGGGGGUUGGAAAGUUUCGGCGGUUGGGGAUGGACUCGCGGCUUAUCAGCUUGUUGGUGGGGUAGUGGCUUACCAAGGCUUUGACGGGUAGCCGGCCUGAGAGGGUGACCGGCCACAUUGGGACUGAGAUACGGCCCAGACUCCUACGGGAGGCAGCAGUGGGGAAUAUUGCACAAUGGGCGGAAGCCUGAUGCAGCAACGCCGCGUGCAGGAUGACGGCCUUCGGGUUGUAAACCGCUUUCGCCUGUGACGAAGCGUGAGUGACGGUAAUGGGUAAAGAAGCACCGGCUAACUACGUGCCAGCAGCCGCGGUGAUACGUAGGGUGCGAGCGUUGUCCGGAUUUAUUGGGCGUAAAGGGCUCGUAGGUGGUUGAUCGCGUCGGAAGUGUAAUCUUGGGGCUUAACCCUGAGCGUGCUUUCGAUACGGGUUGACUUGAGGAAGGUAGGGGAGAAUGGAAUUCCUGGUGGAGCGGUGGAAUGCGCAGAUAUCAGGAGGAACACCAGUGGCGAAGGCGGUUCUCUGGGCCUUUCCUGACGCUGAGGAGCGAAAGCGUGGGGAGCGAACAGGCUUAGAUACCCUGGUAGUCCACGCUGUAAACGGUGGGUACUAGGUGUGGGGUCCAUUCCACGGGUUCCGUGCCGUAGCUAACGCUUUAAGUACCCCGCCUGGGGAGUACGGCCGCAAGGCUAAAACUCAAAGGAAUUGACGGGGCCCCGCACAAGCGGCGGAGCAUGCGGAUUAAUUCGAUGCAACGCGUAGAACCUUACCUGGGUUUGACAUGGAUCGGGAGCGCUCAGAGAUGGGUGUGCCUCUUUUGGGGUCGGUUCACAGGUGGUGCAUGGCUGUCGUCAACUCGUGUCGUGAGAUGUUGGGUUAAGUCCCGCAACGAGCGCAACCCUUGUUCACUGUUGCCAGCACGUUAUGGUGGGGACUCAGUGGAGACCGCCGGGGUCAACUCGGAGGAAGGUGGGGAUGACGUCAAGUCAUCAUGCCCCUUAUGCCCAGGGCUUCACGCAUGCUACAAUGGCUGGUACAGAGAGUGGCGAGCCUGUGAGGGUGAGCGAAUCUCGGAAAGCCGGUCUCAGUUCGGAUUGGGGUCUGCAACUCGACCUCAUGAAGUCGGAGUCGCUAGUAAUCGCAGAUCAGCAACGCUGCGGUGAAUACGUUCCCGGGGCU